rnacentral:piRNA from 1 species
UGGGUACUGCAUGAAUGAUGAAGUACAAGGU